GCGAGAGUGGCGGAAUUGGCAGACGCACCAGACUUAGGAUCUGGCGCCUUCGGCGUGAGGGUUCGACUCCCUCCUCUCGCA
rnacentral:tRNA from 1 species